rnacentral:misc_RNA from 1 species
UCCGUAUUUACUACGACAGUAUCCCAUGAGUCCCCAGCUUUACCUGCUGGCAACAUAGGAAAGGGGUUGCGCUCGUUACGGGACUUAACCCAACAUCUCACGACACGAGCUGACGACAACCAUGCACCACCUGUGUACGAACCCCGAAGGACCUGCCGUUUCCAGCAGUUUUCCGUACAUGUCAAACCUUGGUAAGGUUUUUCGCGUUUCAUCGAAUUAAGCCACAUGCUCCGCUGCUUGUGCGGAUCCCCGUCAAUUCCUUUGAGUUUUAGUCUUGCGACCGUACUCCCCAGGCGGGGUGCUUAAUGUGUUAACUUCGGCACAGAGAUAAAAUAUCCCCACACCUAGCACCCAGCGUUUACAGCAUGGACUAC